rnacentral:rRNA from 1 species
AUGAACGCUGGCGGCGUGCCUCAUACAUGCAAGUCGCGCGAACGGACGAGAAGCUUGCUUCUCUGAUGUUAGCGGCGGACGGGUGAGUAACACGUGGAUAACCUACCUAUAAGACUGGGAUAACUUCGGGAAACCGUAGCUAAUACCGGAUAAUAUUUUGAACCGCAUGGUUCAAAAGUGAAAGACGGUCUUGCUGUCACUUAUAGAUGGAUCCGCGCUGCACUAGCUAGUUGGUAAGGUAACGGCUUACCAAGGCAACGAUGCAUAGCCGACCUGAGAGGGUGAUCGGCCACACUGGAACUGAGACACGGUCCAGACUCCUACGGGAGGCAGCAGUAGGGAAUCUUCCGCAAUGGGCGAAAGCCUGACGGAGCAACGCCGCGUGAGUGAUGAAGGUCUUCGGAUCGUAAAACUCUGUUAUUAGGGAAGAACAUAUGUGUAAGUAACUGUGCACAUCUUGACGGUACCUAAUCAGAAAGCCACGGCUAACUACGUG